rnacentral:tRNA from 1 species
GGCCCCAUGGUCAAGCGGUUAAGACAUCGCCCUUUCACGGCGGUAUCCGGGGUUCGAAUCCCCGUGGGGUCACCA